rnacentral:rRNA from 1 species
AAGGUUAAGUUAAUAAGGGCGCACGGUGGAUGCCUUGGCACUAGAAGCCGAUGAAGGACGUGACUAACGACGAAAUGCCUUGGGGAGCUGUAAGUAAGCAAUGAUCCAGGGAUGUCCGAAUGGGGGAACCCGGCAGGUAAUGCCUGUCACUCACUACUGUUAAGGUAGUGAAGAGGAAGACGCAGUGAACUGAAACAUCUAAGUAGCUGCAGGAAGAGAAAGCAAAAGCGAUUGCCUUAGUAGCGGCGAGCGAAACGGCAGGAGGGCAAACCGAGGAGUUUACUCCUCGGGGUUGUAGGACUGCAAUGUGGACUUAAAGAGUAUAGAAGAACUACCUGGGAAGGUAGGCCAAAGAGAGUAAUAGCCUCGUAUUUAAAAUAUUUUUUAUACCUAGCAGUAUCCUGAGUACGGCGAGACACGCGAAAUCUCGUCGGAAUCCGGGAGGACCAUCUCCCAACCCUAAAUACUCUCUAGUGACCGAUAGUGAACCAGUACCGUGAGGGAAAGGUGAAAAGUACCCCGGAAGGGGAGUGAAAUAGAACCUGAAACCGUGUGCCUACAACAAGUUCGAGCCCGUUAAUGGGUGAGAGCGUGCCUUUUGUAGAAUGAACCGGCGAGUUACGAUAUGAUGCGAGGUUAAGUUGAAGAGACGGAGCCGUAGGGAAACCGAGUCUUAAUAGGGCGGAUUAGUAUUAUGUCGUAGACCCGAAACCAUGUGACCUACCCAUGAGCAGGUUGAAGGUGCGGUAAGACGCACUGGAGGACCGAACCAGGGCACGUUGAAAAGUGCUUGGAUGACUUGUGGGUAGCGGAGAAAUUCCAAACGAACUUGGAGAUAGCUGGUUCUCUCCGAAAUAGCUUUAGGGCUAGCGUCGACAUUUGAGAAUCUUGGAGGUAGAGCACUGUUUGGAUGAGGGGGCCAUCUCGGUUUACUGAUUUCAGAUAAACUCCGAAUGCCAAUGAUUUAUGGUCGGCAGUCAGACUGCGAGUGCUAAGAUCCGUAGUCGAAAGGGAAACAGCCCAGACCACCAGCUAAGGUCCCAAAAUAAUUGUUAAGUGGAAAAGGAUGUGGGGUUGCACAGACAACUAGGAUGUUAGCUUAGAAGCAGCUAUUCAUUCAAAGAGUGCGUAAUAGCUCACUAGUCGAGUGACCCUGCGCCGAAAAUGUACCGGGGCUAAAACAAUUUACCGAAGCUGUGGAUAACACUUUAGUGUUAUGGUAGGAGAGCGUUCUAUGUGUGAAGAAGGUAUACCGUGAGGAGUGCUGGAACGCAUAGAAGUGAGAAUGCCGGUAUGAGUAGCGAAAGAUGGGUGAGAAUCCCAUCCACCGUAAGACUAAGGUUUCCAGGGGAAGGCUCGUCCGCCCUGGGUUAGUCGGGACCUAAGGAGAGACCGAAGGGUGUAUCCGAUGGACAACAGGUUGAUAUUCCUGUACUAGAGUAUGAAGUGAUGGAGGGACGCAGUAGGCUAACUAAAGCGGGCGAUUGGAAGUGCCCGUCUAAGCAGUGAGGUGUGAUAUGAGUCAAAUGCUUGUAUCUGUAACAUUGAGCUGUGAUGGGGAGCGAAGUUAAGUAGCGAAGUUAGUGACGUCACACUGCCGAGAAAAGCUUCUAGCGAUGUAUCAUACUCUACCCGUACCGCAAACCGACACAGGUAGUCGAGGCGAGUAGCCUCAGGUGAGCGAGAGAACUCUCGUUAAGGAACUCGGCAAAAUGACCCCGUAACUUCGGGAGAAGGGGUGCUGGCUUAAAGUCAGCCGCAGUGAAUAGGCCCAAGCAACUGUUUAUCAAAAACACAGCUCUCUGCUAAAUCGUAAGAUGAUGUAUAGGGGGUGACGCCUGCCCGGUGCUGGAAGGUUAAGAGGAGGGUUUAGCGCAAGCGAAGAUCUGAAUUGAAGCCCCAGUAAACGGCGGCCGUAACUAUAACGGUCCUAAGGUAGCGAAAUUCCUUGUCGGGUAAGUUCCGACCCGCACGAAAGGCGUAAUGAUUUGGGCACUGUCUCAACGAGAGACUCGGUGAAAUUUUAGUACCUGUGAAGAUGCAGGUUACCCGCGACAGGACGGAAAGACCCCAUGGAGCUUUACUGCAGUUUGAUAUUGAGUAUCUGUACCACAUGUACAGGAUAGGUAGGAGCCUACGAAGUCGGGACGCCAGUUUCGACUGAGGCGCUGUUGGGAUACUACCCUUGUGUUAUGGCUACUCUAACCCGGAUAGGUUAUCCCUAUCGGAGACAGUGUCUGACGGGCAGUUUGACUGGGGCGGUCGCCUCCUAAAAGGUAACGGAGGCGCCCAAAGGUUCCCUCAGAAUGGUUGGAAAUCAUUCGCAGAGUGUAAAGGUAUAAGGGAGCUUGACUGCGAGAGCUACAACUCGAGCAGGGACGAAAGUCGGGCUUAGUGAUCCGGUGGUUCCGUAUGGAAGGGCCAUCGCUCAACGGAUAAAAGCUACCCUGGGGAUAACAGGCUUAUCUCCCCCAAGAGUUCACAUCGACGGGGAG